rnacentral:tRNA from 2 species
GGGCACGUAGCUCAGCUAGGAUUAGAGCGUCGGACUUCUAAUCCGACGGCCGUGGGUUCAAAUCCCACCGUGCUCG